rnacentral:rRNA from 1 species
AGAGUUUGAUCAUGGCUCAGGACGAACGCUGGCGGCGUGCUUAACACAUGCAAGUCGAACGAGGCUCAUUCAGUAGCAAUACUGAUGAAGGCCUAGUGGCGAACGGGUGAGUAACACGUGAGAAACCUAUCCUGGUCUCUGGGAUAACAGUCGGAAACAACUGCUAAUACCGGAUGCCGUCGGAGCGCUGCAUGGCGCACUGACGAAAGGGUUACUGGAUCAGGAGGGUCUCGCGGCCUAUCAGCUUGUUGGUGGGGUAAUGGCCUACCAAGGCAUCGACGGGUAGCUGGUCUGAGAGGAUGAUCAGCCACACUGGGACUGAGACACGGCCCAGACUCCUACGGGAGGCAGCAGUGGGGAAUCUUGCGCAAUGGGCGAAAGCCUGACGCAGCAACGCCGCGUGCGGGAAGAAGGCCUUCGGGUUGUAAACCGCUUUCAGAAGGAACGAAACUGACGGUACUUUCAGAAGAAGGUGCGGCCAACUACGUGCCAGCAGCCGCGGUGACACGUAGGCACCAAGCGUUGUCCGGAUUUAUUGGGCGUAAAGAGCUCGUAGGCGGUUCGAUAAGUCGGGUGUGAAAACUUUGGGCUCAACCCAAAGCGUGCAUUCGAUACUGUUGUGACUAGAGUUCGGUAGGGGAGUGGGGAAUUCCUAGUGUAGCGGUGAAAUGCGCAGAUAUUAGGAGGAACACCGGUGGCGAAGGCGCCACUCUGGGCCGAAACUGACGCUGAGGAGCGAAAGCGUGGGUAGCAAACAGGAUUAGAUACCCUGGUAGUCC